UAGACACUUAGUUAUAGUGUGAAAAUUGUAUUUAACGUUCUUUUUUACAUACGAUUUUUUUUUUUUAAAUAAGAUUUUCAGUAGUAUAAAAUUUUAAGCAUUAAAAGGAUUUAGACUUAGAAAUAAUCUUGAUAAUUAACAAAAUUUGUGCCAGCAGUUGCGGUUACACAGAUAAUUAAAUUUAAUUUUUUUUAGUAUAAAUUAAUUGGUUAUUUUUUUUAAAAAAUAAAAUUGGAAGGUGAAAUUUUAAUUUUUAAGUAUAAAAUUUAUUAAAUGAAGUUUAGAAAUUUUUAGUUAAACUAGGAUUAGAUACCCUAUUAUUAUAAAUGUAUAAUUAAAAACUAAUUGAUUAAUAGUUAUGGUCUUUAAAAAUAAAUAAUUUGGCGGUAUUUUAGUCUUUUCAGAGGAACCUGUUUUAUAAAUGAUAAUCCACGAUUAAUCAAUCUUAAAUUAGAAAUUUAUAUAUCAUCGUUAUUAAAUAUUUUAAAAGAAGUUAAUAUUUAAAAAAUAAAAUUUUAUUUUAAUUCAGAUCAUGGUAUAGUUUAUAUUUAAGUAAUAAUGGGUUACAAUAUUAAUAAAUUUGGAAUUUAAAUUUAAAAUUUAAAUGAAAUUGGAUUUGAAAGUAAUUAUUUUUAUAUAAUAAUAAUGAUUAAGCUCUAAAAUAUGCACAUAUCGCCCGUCACUUUCGUUAUAAAAUGAAAUAAGUCGUAACAAAGUAGAUUUACUGGAAAGUGUAUCUAGAUGAUC
rnacentral:ncRNA from 1 species